rnacentral:tRNA from 1 species
GCCUAAAUAGCUUAUAGUAGAGCUUAUGGCUUUUAACCAUAGGGGCGGUAUAUUGAAUUACCGUUUAGGUU